rnacentral:rRNA from 1 species
AUGAGGUUGACGAUCGGUCGAGCAGGAAUCCUUGUGGCUUCUACCCUUCUGUGUGGGGGGAUUUCUUCCUUCACCACUCUGAUCCAGCAGCUUCCUCUCAAAAGCAGUGCCAAUGUUAGUGACUUUGAUCUUCAUACAGUAGCCAUUUGGUUCUAUCUACUACGUAAACAUGGAUACAUGGUUUCACCAGACGUGUUUGUGAAAUUCUUAGAUGAGGAUGGAACUUUUCUGACAGCAACUCCGAGAGAACUAUUGAGCCUUUACAAUGCCGCACAUUUUAGUAUCCAUGGAGAGAUAAUACUUGACAAAGCUAUAUCCUUCACCAAAAGGAGUUUAGAAUCAAAACUGCCAUAUCUAGAAGGAUUAAUGGCACAUGAAAUUCAAUGUGCACUUGAGAUAUGUGACGCCCGGAUAAUGAAGCUACAGUAA